rnacentral:rRNA from 1 species
GACGAACGCUGGCGGCGUGCUUAACACAUGCAAGUCGAACGGAAAGGCCCUGCUUUUGUGGGGUGCUCGAGUGGCGAACGGGUGAGUAACACGUGAGUAACCUGCCCUUGACUUUGGGAUAACUUCAGGAAACUGGGGCUAAUACCGGAUAGGAGCUCCUGCUGCAUGGUGGGGGUUGGAAAGUUUCGGCGGUUGGGGAUGGACUCGCGGCUUAUCAGCUUGUUGGUGGGGUAGUGGCUUACCAAGGCUUUGACGGGUAGCCGGCCUGAGAGGGUGACCGGCCACAUUGGGACUGAGAUGCGACCCAGACUCCUACGGGAGGCAGCAGUGGGGAAUAUUGCACAAUGGGCGGAGGCCUGAUGCAGCAACGCCGCGUGCGGGAUGACGGCCUUCGGGUUGUAAACCGCUUUCGCCUGUGACGAAGCGUGAGUGACGGUAAUGGGUAAAGAAGCACCGGCUAACUACGUG